UGGGUAACAUUUCACCAAAGAGGAAGCUAAAAAUGCCAGGGGGUGCACUAGUUUUAUUUCCAAGCUAUCACUGAGACCCCCAGGGAGCUCCUGAUCUGUUGGGGAGGAGCCUGGAGGUGCGUGGAGUGGAGCUCAGGGCUGCAGAGGCGAGCAGAGCUGAGCGGCUGGGCGGGCCUGGCCUGGCCAGCGGAGGGCUGAGCGGCGGCGAACAUGCGCUUUUGACACGGUGGAGGCUUUCUUGAUCAUGGAUGGUGAAGAUAUACCAGAUUUUUCAAGUUUAAAGGAGAAAACUGCUUAUUCGAAGGAGCUUUCCUUAAAGCAUAAACAAAGCUUCCAGGAAGCUCGGGAUGAGCUAGUUGAAUUCCAGGAAGGAAGCAGAGAAUUAGAAGAGAAUUGGAGGCACAAUUAGUAUAGGCUGAACAGAGAAAUAGAGACUUGCAAGCUGACAACCAAAGACUGAAGUAUGAAGUGGAGGCAUUAAAGGAGAAACUAGAACAUCAGUAUGCACAGAGCUACAAGCAGGUUUCAGUAUUAGAAGAUGAUUUAAGUCAGACUCAGGCCAUUAAGGAGCAGUUGCAUAAGUAUGUGAGAGAGCUGGAGCAGGCCAGUAAUGAUCUGGAGCAAGCAAAAAGGGCAACAAUAGUUCCACUGGGAGACUUUGAACAAAGGCUAAAUCAGGCCAUUGAACGAAACGCAUUUUUAGAAAGUAAACUUGAUGGAAAGGAAUCUUUGUUGGUCUCUGUACAGAGGUUAAAGGAUGAAGCAAGAGAUUUAAGGCAAGAACUAGCAGUUUGGGAAAGACAACAGGAAGUAACCAGAAAGUCGGCUCCUAGUUCUCCAACUCUAGAUUGUGAAAAAAUGGAUUCUGCUGUCCACGCAUCACUCUCUUUCCCAGCUACGCCUGUUGUCAAAGGAACAGAAAACAGUUUUCCCUCACCGAAAGCUGUACCAAAUGGUUUUGGUACCAGUCCACUAACUCCUUCUGCUAGGUUAUCAGCACUCAAUAUUGUUGGGGAUCUCUUACAGAAAGUAGGGGCUUUAGAAUCCAAAUUAGCAGCUUGCAGGAAUUUUGCAAGGACCAAGCAUCACGGAAAUCCUAUAUUUUAGGGAAUGUUAACUAUGGGGUUUUGAAUGGCAACAGCACAGAGUUCUCUCAAUCAGGGCCUACAUCUUUCUUUGGCAAAGGGGCAGUAAAUGGCUUUGACCCAGCUCCUCCUCCUCCUGGUCUGAGCUCCUCGUGUCCGUCUUCGGCACCAGGUAUGCUGCCUCUCAGUGUGUGAGUGGCCGGCCUCCAGGUAGGGGCUCCUGCCCUCCUCCAACAACCCAGGAUACCCAUGUCUCGCCCCUUGGUGCCUGGGCCCAGCCCUGCACCCCUCUGUCUGCCUCCCCAUGGCUGGCAGAGGGCAGGCCGUAUGGAGUGGUGGUUGCUGGGCCCCUCCCAGCCCCAAGACUCCGCACGAUAUCAAUACUGGCUAUUUUCUCUUCUCGCCGUAGUGCCAUUGGUUUCACAUGAUUGCACUUUGUGGGUCACAAGAUGAUACAUACGUGUAUUACUUGGUCACUGGAUGCAGAAGUACCCAUUCAUCACACCUGCCUCAUAGCCCCCACUCUGCUGUACUGAUAGGAUUUAGUUGUGUUUAGAACAUUGCCCAUCUUCUAGACGUUCUCCCCCAAAUCAGGUCUAUGUGUGCCCUCCCCCUGUGCUUCCACACAUCGCAGUGCUCACGAUCAUGUGUCCCCAGCUCCACCCCUCACAGUCUGGGUCUAUUUCUGGCAGAGUCAGGAAGGUUUCUGAAUUAGGGAACAUUUUUUACACCUUCUGAUUUUACUUAAGCAGUUACCAUUCCAUGGACCACCUCCCAGAGCAGCAAAAUGCCCUUCUGAGCCCCAGGUGACAGGAGCCUUGGGGCCUGAGCUCACAGGCUGAGCCUCUGUGCUGUCUCCUCCUCAGGGUGCCUCAGACCCAGGGGAAGGGGAACCCCUCGCCAGCUUCCCCGUCCUUCAGUUUGAUGACGUCUUCAGAGCAUUUUUGUUUUCUCCUCUGAGGGCCCGUCCAGUUGGGUUAGGAAGGGUAGAGUGGCCUGAUUCCAGGGCUGCCUGGUGCCAGCUCCUGAGGGCAGAAUGACCAAAAGAGGUUGUCUCUGUGCACCCUUUGAUUACUCUUGUGCUGCAUUUACUGUUUACAUUUGUUUUAUUGUACAUAGGUUUGUAAACAUUAUUGCCUAAGAUAUUUGUAUAUAAUUUGGGCUUUGUAGCUUUUACUUACUCAGAACUCAUAUGGCAUGUUAAUGACUUAUGAUGUCCUUAUCUGGGCAGCUGUAUAGGAUCAUCAAAAAAAGUCUUUUAAUGUGGAAACAAUAAAUUUCACAGAAAAAAAGGGGAAAAAAAUGCAAAGGCUGCCACGCACCCAGGUCUCCAUGCCAGCCCUGCCCGUGCUGGUUCCACAUUAUCUAUCUGUCCCUUCUUCACCAGGCUAGAAGCCAAGGAGUGCCCAGUGACCUGGAGGGAUUCUCUGACACCUCCACAGCCCUGUCUGGCUCAGGCACAAGGUUGCUGCUUUAUUGAGGCCCUGGCAUCUUGUAAGGGUUAGGUGGCCUGGGGCCUCCAAACUAGGAUAGGGACCUCCCAGGACCAGGCUUUAGCGCUGUCUUCAAAGUGCUACCGCUUACCUGGCUCACCUUGUUUAGGUGCACAGGUCUGAGUGGAUUGCCCUGCGCAAGAGGUCCAGUGAGUCCCCGAGACACCUGAGCGGAAACUGAGGUUCAACUUCCUGCUUCUUCAGCCUCAAGCAUACAUGGGUCACUACAAAAGUUUUGAGACAGCCUGAGUAUGAUCCAUUAUUUCACUUCCAAGAACUGUGUUUUUGUUUU